GUGGGGAAUAUUGGACAAUGGGGGGAACCCUGAUCCAGCCAUGCCGCGUGUGUGAAGAAGGCCUUUUGGUUGUAAAGCACUUUAAGCGAGGAGGAGGCUACCGAGAUUAAUACUCUUGGAUAGUGGACGUUACUCGCAGAAUAAGCACCGGCUAAAUCUGUGCCAGCAGCCGCGGUAAUACAGAGGGUGCAAGCGUUAAUCGGAUUUACUGGGCGUAAAGCGCGCGUAGGUGGCCAAUUAAGUCAAAUGUGAAAUCCCCGAGCUUAACUUGGGAAGUGCAUUCGAUACUGGUUGGCUAGAGUAUGUGAGAGGAUGGUAGAAUUCCAGGUGUAGCGGUGAAAUGCGUAGAGAUCUGGAGGAAUACCGAUGGCGAAGGCAGCCAUCUGGCCUAAUACUGACACUGAGGUGCGAAAGCAUGGGGAGCAAACAGGAUUAGAUACCCCUGUAGUCC
rnacentral:rRNA from 1 species